AGCAGCCGCGGUAAUUCCAGCUCCAAUAGCGUAUAUUAAAGUUGUUGCAGUUAAAAAGCUCGUAGUUGAAUUUCGGGAUCAAUAUGUUGGUCGUGCCUUUGGUACGUACUAGCUCAUUGAUUUCUCCCUUCUGACGAACCAUGAUGUCAUUAAUUUGGUGUCAUGGGGAAUCAGGACUGUUACUUUGAGAAAAUUAGAGUGUUUAAAGCAGGCUUACGCUUGAAUAUAUUAGCAUGGAAUAAUGAAAUAGGACGUUUUGAUUCUAUUUUGUUGGUUUCUAGGAUCGACGUAAUGAUUAAUAGGGAUAGUUGGGGGCAUUAGUAUUCAAUUGUCAGAGGUGAAAUUCUUGGAUUUAUUGAAGACUAACCACUGCGAAAGCAUUUGCCAAGGAUGUUUUCAUUAAUCAAGAACGAAAGUUAGGGGAUCGAAGACGAUCAGAUACCGUCGUAGUCUUAACCAUAAACUAUGCCGACUAGGG
rnacentral:rRNA from 1 species